rnacentral:rRNA from 1 species
UACGUAGGUGGCAAGCGUUGUCCGGAAUUAUUGGGCGUAAAGCGCGCGCAGGCGGUCCUUUAAGUCUGAUGUGAAAGCCCACGGCUCAACCGUGGAGAGUCAUUGGAAACUGGGGGACUUGAGUGCAGGAGAGAAGAGUGGAAUUCCUGGUGUAGCGGUGAAAUGCGCAGAUAUCAGGAGGAACACCAAUGGCGAAGGCAGCUCGCUGGGACGGUACUGACACUGAGACGCGAAAGCGUGGGGAGCAAACAGG